rnacentral:lncRNA from 1 species
CAAAAUGUUCCCCUUCUCACCCUAGGACCCUUGCAUUCCUCUCUUCUUUGUGUAAUGUGAAGCUCGGCAUAGGAUGAUGCAGAGGAAUGUAAUGAAAGAUGCAGGAAGCUUAUGACACUUUUGCCUGGUUGGGACCCAUACAUGGAACACAGUCCAGAUCUGGCUCCAAAGAGCUUUCAGCAUCAAUCAACAAGACAAUGUGAAGAAGAGGAGGAGGAGAGAGGCAGUGUUACUUGCCCAAAUAUUAACUCAACAGCUCUUCAAAAAGGAGGUUGCCGUUUUGCUUUGUAGGCUUCACCCCUGGUUUCCCUCAAGACUAGGUGUGAAGGAAAAGUACAAGUGCUGCGCUCCUAUUCCUAUGGAUUUCAUAACGUGCAAAGCUUCAAUGGGCACCAGAGGUCCUGGAUUUAGCCAUCUUCACCUGCCUGGCUUGGAGGGGAAGAAUUCUUUCCCCGUGCUGUGGGGAUUUAGACACAUUGCUUUUCUGGCUCCACUUCAGCAACAAGCUCAGUGCUCAACAGCUGAUUUCCCUCUUCCUCCCGGGCCGCGUCUUGUGCGCGUUCACAUCACAUGGUGCUGCUGA